AUCUUUGCGCUUGGGGCAAUGACGCAGCUAAUGAGGUUCUAACCGAGGCGCGUCUAUUGCUGGUUGAAAACUAUUUCCAAACCCCCUCCUGGGCCUAAGCUUGUCUUGGGCCUUCGAGAAUUUCUGGAAGGGCUCCCUUUGGGGUAAAGCC
rnacentral:snRNA from 1 species